rnacentral:rRNA from 1 species
UACGUAGGGUGCGAGCGUUGUCCGGAAUUACUGGGCGUAAAGAGCUCGUAGGUGGUUUGUCGCGUUGUUCGUGAAAACCUGAGGCUUAACCUUGGGCGUGCGGGCGAUACGGGCAGACUGGAGUACUGCAGGGGAGACUGGAAUUCCUGGUGUAGCGGUGGAAUGCGCAGAUAUCAGGAGGAACACCGGUGGCGAAGGCGGGUUGCUGGGCUGAUACUGACGCUGAGGCGCGAAAGCCAGGGGAGCGAACGGG